CUGGAGCGAGUGCCCGGGGAUCACCCCCACUGACCAGCUGACUCACGCUGCGGGGCGGAGAUGGGGCUUCUGAGGACGUCUUUCUUAUUUGUCCGUUUCAGUUGAAGUUGACCUGAAAGUGCCAUUCGUGAGGGCCAUCCUUCUACCAAGUAUCAGGACCUGACGAGAACCAACACUGUAACUGCGCCCCCGCUUACAGUGCCGAUGUUGAGUUCUCAGCAUCUUACCUGGUGCACAGAUCUGCUUUGCGCUCCUUGCUGGCAUAGGCGUGGGCUUCGAGCCCUUCACUCUACAGCUCCCUGACUGGGGCGCUUGUGUUCUUCCUACAUGUGUUCACUACCCACCAGUUUCGAGAGCUGUCGGUCAGAUCUGUUUCUUUCAGCCCAGGUGGGAUGAAUUUCCCUAAAUCAUUGACGUAUCUUCCUAGUUGCUUCUGAAAAUAAAUGAUGUUAUAAUUAAAAAGUCUGCAAAGAUGGAUCAUUAACAGGAACUGUGAAAAACACAAGCAUAUUUGUCAGCAGACAGAAGAAUAAUUUUUCUUACAUGUGCUGCUAGAAAGAAUAAGGAACUAUGUUAACAUACAGUUAUAAAAGGAUUAGUAUUUGGAGAUUUUAAGUGCUCUAGUCUAGAUUUUCUUCCUGAAUAGGAAAAUAAUAAAACCUGCUAAACUGCAACAAACAACUAAUUUCUUACAAGUUAGUGCUAUGACUCUGAAUUUGUUCAAUAAUGUUUCAACAGAAUGUAUAUUCACUUGAAAAGGUCCAUGUUUUGAAACCAGCACCCUUCACUGUAAAAUAUAUUCUAGUUUUGGCAGAAAGGUUUUAACAAAGAUGCAAUUUCUUCUGAGGGAGGAGGGUGAUGUAUGAGUAAGCAGUGUUCCAGUGGCCAUAGCAAAGAGCCUGCCAGUGUUGGGUGAGUCAGAUUCAGGUCUCGAUCUCCCAACUUUCACAUCACAGAUAAAACCUUAACCACUGAGCUACUGGCUGAUACACAAUUAGAAUCUUUCCUGUUCUUCUGUUUUUAUACUUUGCAUAAAAUUUUAGCAGAGACUUGAACUUGGGACUUCCAAUCUUUGCCUUAGCUCAGC